GCGCGAAAACUUUACAAUGCUGGCAACAGCGAUAAGGGAACCUCGAGUGCCAGGUUACAAAUCUGGCUGUCGAGAUGCCUAAAAAGCAUUUCAUAGCAAGGGCCGGGCAAGACCGGUGCCAGCCGCCGCGGUAACACCGGCGGCUCGAGUGGUAACCGUUAUUAUUGGGUCUAAAGGGUCUGUAGCCGGCCGGAUAAGUCUCUUGAGUAAUCUGGCAGCUUAACUGUCAGGCUUUCAGGAGAUACUGUCUGGCUCGAGGCCGGGAGAGGUGAGAGGUACUUCAGGGGUAGGGGUGAAAUCUUGUAAUCCUUGAAGAACCACCAGUGGCGAAGGCGUCUCACCAGAACGGACCUGACAGCAAGGGACGAAAGCUAGGGGCACGAACCG
rnacentral:rRNA from 1 species